UUGAGAGUUUGAUCCUGGCUCAGAACGAACGCUGGCGGCAGGCUUAACACAUGCAAGUCGAGCGGUA
rnacentral:rRNA from 1 species